UGCGGUAAUUUGACCGUGCAAAGGUAGCAUAAUCAGUAGUCUUUUAAUUGAAGGCUGGAAUGAACGGUUGGAUGCGAGAAAAGCUGUCUCUUACACAAUUUAGAACUUGACUUUUAAGUGAAAAGGCUUAAAUAUAAUAGUGGGACGAUAAGACCCUAUAAAACUUUAUACGGGUUGUAGUUACUUGUUAGAAUUUUAGUUAAAAUUUGAAUAACUUUAAUCGUAUUUUGUUGGGGAGACAUUGAUAUAAUUUGUAACUGUUAGUUAAAAGGUAUAGUAAUUGUUAGAGUUUGAUCCCCCCGUGGGGAUAAAAAGAAUAAGUUACUUUAGGGAUAACAGCGUAAUUUUUUCUGAGAGUCCUUAUCGAAGAAGUUAGUUGCGACCUCGAUGUUGAAUUAA
rnacentral:rRNA from 1 species